rnacentral:rRNA from 1 species
GCAAGUCGAGCGGAAACGAGAAGUAGCUUGCUACUUCGGCGUCGAGCGGCGGACGGGUGAGUAAUGCCUAGGAAGUUGCCCAGUAGAGGGGGAUAACCAUUGGAAACGAUUGCUAAUACCGCAUAAUCUCUUUGGAGCAAAGCAGGGGACCUUCGGGCCUUGUGCUAUUGGAUACGCCUAGGUGGGAUUAGCUAGUUGGUGAGGUAAUGGCUCACCAAGGCGACGAUCCCUAGCUGGUCUGAGAGGAUGAUC